CGCGUAGGCGGAAUAUUAAGUCAGUGGUGAAAUCCUGCGGCUCAACCGUAGAACUGCCAUUGAUACUGAUAUUCUUGAAUGUAGUUGAGGUAGGCGGAAUGUGUAAUGUAGCGGUGAAAUGCUUAGAUAUUACACAGAACACCGAUUGCGAAGGCAGCUUACUAAACUAUGAUUGACGCUGAGGCACGAAAGCGUGGGGAGCGAACAGGAUUAGAUACCCUGGUAGUCC
rnacentral:rRNA from 1 species